CCCUUUUGAAACCGGAGACGUGGGUCUGCAGGGGAGAAGGUGAUGAAAGAAGGACAGCACCUGGUGGGAGAGAAUGGCAGAAGAACUGCAGCCAUGGGUCCUCCCUCUGUGUCAGGGUGCCACAUAUGGAGACAUUGGCCCAAAGAUGGAGAAGAUGAGGUUUCUAUCCUUGAGAAGUACAGUAUGGGAGACAGACAGAUAAGUGGAUAAUUAUUUUACAGGUUGACAGUGAGAAUCGGGAGGUCUGCUUGGAGGUCUGCUUGCGUCCAUGCGGUACUCUCUGCCCCCAGUCUGGGGACUUACCCCUAGGCGCAGAUAAAGAACCGAGUCCUCCUCCUUCUGUAGCCUAGGCAACAGGCCUUCAGCACGAACUGCAACUGGUGUGGAAAGCCCACGGAAAUACCCGGAAGUUUAGCAUGUAACCUAGAAAAAAGUCUAGAAUGUGUAUGUAUGCCAUAUAUAUGGGAGACAAAGAACCUAGGGAUGUAUAUAAGGCAAAACCCCACUACGUUUGGCGCUCAGCCUCUGGAGAGGACUCUGCUGGGCCAGCGCCGGUGCGA